rnacentral:rRNA from 1 species
UACAGAGGGUGCAAGCGUUAAUCGGAAUUACUGGGCGUAAAGCGUGCGUAGACGGUUAUGUAAGUCAGAUGUGAAAGCCCCGGGCUCAACCUGGGAAUUGCAUUUGAGACUGCAUAGCUAGGGUGCGGAAGAGGGAAGCGGAAUUUCCGGUGUAGCGGUGAAAUGCGUAGAUAUCAGGAGGAAUACCGGUGGCGAAGGCGGCUAUCUGGCCAUGUACUGACGCUGAGACACGAAAGCGUGGGGAGCAAACAGG